rnacentral:rRNA from 1 species
UACGUAGGGUGCGAGCGUUGUCCGGAAUUAUUGGGCGUAAAGAGCUUGUAGGCGGUCUGUCGCGUCUGCUGUGAAAAUCCGGGGCUCAACCCCGGACCUGCAGUGGGUACGGGCAGACUAGAGUGUGGUAGGGGAGACUGGAAUUCCUGGUGUAGCGGUGAAAUGCGCAGAUAUCAGGAGGAACACCGAUGGCGAAGGCAGGUCUCGUGGGCCAUAACUGACGCUGAGAAGCGAAAGCAUGGGGAGCGAACAGG